rnacentral:miRNA from 1 species
GAACCACAGCAGUUUGAGCGGACC